rnacentral:rRNA from 1 species
UAAUACGGGGGGUGCAAGCGUUGUCCGGAAUCAUUGGGCGUAAAGGGUUCGUAGGUGGAAUUAUAAGUCUGGUGUGAAAGCCCACAGCUCAACUGUGGAACUGCACUGGAUACUGUUUUUCUUGAGUUAUAGAGGGGUUUGUGGAAUUUCUGGUGUAGAGGUGAAAUUUGUAGAGAUCAGAAAGAACACCGGUGGCGAAGGCGACAAACUGGCUAUCAACUGACACUGAGGAACGAAAGCGUGGGGAGCGAACAGGAUUAGAUACCCUGGUAGUCCACGCAGUAAACGAUGGAUACUCGUUGUCGGGGAGGUUUCUCUUCGGUGACUAAGCUAACGCAUUAAGUAUCCCGCCUGGGGAGUACGAUCGCAAGGUUG